rnacentral:rRNA from 1 species
UACGGAGGGUGCGAGCGUUGUCCGGAAUCAUUGGGCGUAAAGGGCGCGUAGGUGGCCCGGUCAGUUCGUGGUGAAAGCGCGGGGCUCAACCCUGCGUCGGCCAUGAAUACUGCCGCGGCUGGAGCACUGUAGAGGCAGGCGGAAUUCCGGGUGUAGCGGUGGAAUGGCGUAGAGAUCCGGAAGAACACCGGAUGGCGAAGGCGGGAAGCUCG